AAAGGAAUUGACGGGGACCCGCACAAGCGGUGGAUGAUGUGGAUUAAUUCGAUGCAACGCGAAAAACCUUACCUGGUCUUGACAUGUACGGAAUCCUGCAGAGAUGUGGGAGUGCCUUCGGGAGCCGUAACACAGGUGCUGCAUGGCUGUCGUCAGCUCGUGUCGUGAGAUGUUGGGUUAAGUCCCGCAACGAGCGCAACCCUUGUCUUUAAUUGCCAUCAUUUAGUUGGGCACUUUAGAGAGACUGCCGGGGACAACUCGGAGGAAGGUGGGGAUGACGUCAAGUCCUCAUGGCCCUUAUGACCAGGGCUUCACACGUCAUACAAUGGUCGGAACAGAGGGAAGCCAACCCGCGAGGGGGAGCCAAUCCCAGAAAUCCGAUCGUAGUCCGGAUUGCAGGCUGCAACUCGCCUGCAUGAAGUCGGAAUCGCUAGUAAUCGCGGAUCAGCAUGUCGCGGUGAAUACGUUCCCGGGUCUUGUACACACCGCCCGU
rnacentral:rRNA from 1 species